AUUGAACGCUAGCGGGAUGCUUUACACAUGCAAGUCGAACGAGAGGCGGACGGGUGAGCAAUAUAUCGGAACGGGCCCAGUGGCGGGGGAUAGCUACCGGAAAGUGAGGCUGCAUACGCCUAGUAUAGGAUCGGCCGAUAUCGGAUUAGCUAGGUGGUGGGGUAAAGGCAUACCAAGGCCACGAUCCGUAGCUGGUUUGAGAGGACGACCAGCCACACUGGGACUGAGACACGGCCCAGACUCCUACGGGAGGCAGCAGUGGGGAAUUUUGGACAAUGGGGGAAACCCUGAUCCAGCCAUCCCGCGUGUAUGAGAAGGCCUUCGGGUUGUAAAGCACUUUUGGCUGAGAAGCGGUAUCUGCAGAAUAAGCACCGGCUAACUACGUGCCAGCAGCCGCGGUAAUUC
rnacentral:rRNA from 1 species